AUACGUAGGGGGCGAGCGUUGUCCGGAAUGAUUGGGCGUAAAGGGCGCGUAGGCGGCCCGGUAAGUCUGGAGUGAAAGUCCUGUUUUUAAGAUGGGAUUUGCUUUGGAUACUGUCGGGCUUGAGUGCAGGAGAGGUAAGGGGAAUUCCCAGUGUAGCGGUGAAAUGCGUAGAGAUUGGGAGGAAGACCAGUGGCGAAGGCGCCUUACUGGACUGUAACUGACACUGAGGCACGAAAGCGUGGGUAGCAAACAGGAUUAGAUACCCUGGUAGUCCACGCCGUAAACGAUGAGCACCAGGUGUCGGGGUCGCAAGACUUCGGUGCCGUAGUUAACGCAUUAAGUGCUCCGCCUGGGGAGUACGUACGCAAGUAUGAAACUCAAAUGAAUUGACGGGG
rnacentral:rRNA from 1 species